AUCCAGCCCUAAGUAACAGAAUUAAAGAUUUCUCUAUUAGACACAGAGGUUAUACUAGUAAAAAAUUUUGCAAGAUCAGAUGACAUUAAAUUAUUAGACUAUAUCUUAAGGGAAAGGACAUCUGUAAACCUAAAUGUUAAUUGUUGUGUUCACAUCCCUGACAUUUCUGGGAAUGUGGCAAAUAUCCUUAAAGAUUUACAUGCUCAGAUAGAAGCCAUGUACUCAGCAACUUUGUCAUGGAAACAAUAUCUUAGCUCCUGGUUCUUGGUAUUUCCUGGUGGAAAACACUGUUAGUCUUUGUCUUUGCCAUCAUACUCAUUGGCAUAUUCCUGUGCUAUGGCAUUUAUUGCUGCAUCAAUAUGGUUCCAGUACUAAUGAAUUCUUGUUUCUCUUAUAGACCACCCAUCACUCAAAUGGCCCUCCAGCCUAUUACUUCUCAAUCGGACUUUUAUCAUGGACCACUCGAUAGACCCAAUUUUUAAAGGGGGACUCCAAACUGCUUGCCCCACACCGUCCCUUAUCAGCCUGAAGAAGCCAGAAAGAUUUUCUUCGCGCCCCCCCCCUUCCUUACAGCAGCAAGGAGUUCCCAAAUUAGAGGGGGGAAAUGAAGCCAGAUUUAAAGUUAGGUAGUCAGUGUAGUUAGGUAAAUUGGGGUCUAAUACCGAGUGAAAUCUAAAAUGGAGGCCAUGCUGAAAAUGAUUCCAGGAAACGCAGGACAACUCAUGGUAAUCAGACAGCAAUAUGCUCCACUGACAGAGCUGGAAAAUGAGAUUCCCCAAUAAUUAUGAUUCAUUACUUUUAAGAUUAAAAGUAGUCAGAAAAAGGAGUGGGGAAUGAAGGAUAAAAGAAACUGAAGUUAAAGACCAGGCAUUGAUGGAAAUGGAAGGAGACCCUCAGGGUUAUACAAAAUUACAUACAAGAGGAAGUGAGGGGAAAGGGAAAAAUAAUACAAGGGGGAGAAAUGAAUGACAGUAGA
rnacentral:lncRNA from 1 species